GACGAACGCUGGCGGCGUGCUUAACACAUGCCAGUCGAACGGAAAGGCCCUGCUUUUGUGGGGUGCUCGAGUGGCGAACGGGUGAGUAACACGUGAGUAACCUGCCCUUGACUUUGGGAUAACUUCAGGAAACUGGGGCUAAUACCGGAUAGGAGCUCCUGCUGCAUGGUGGGGGUUGGAAAGUUUCGGCGGUUGGGGAUGGACUCGCGGCUUAUCAGCUUGUUGGUGGGGUAGUGGCUUACCAAGGCUUUGUCGGGUAGCCGGCCUGAGAGGGUGACCGGCCACAUUGGGACUGAGAUACGGCCCAGACUCCUACGGGAGGCAGCAGUGGGGAAUAUUGCACAAUGGGCGGAAGCCUGAUGCAGCAACGCCGCGUGCGGGAUGACGGCCUUCGGGUUGUAAACCGCUUUCGCCUGUGACGAAGCGUGAGUGACGGUAAUGGGUAAAGAAGCACCGGCUAACUACGUG
rnacentral:rRNA from 1 species